UAAUACGGAGGGGGCGAGCGUUGUUCGGAAUUAUUGGGCGUAAAGGGCGCGUAGGCGGCUGAUCAAGUCGGGUGUGAAAUCCCUCGGCUCAACCGAGGAACUGCACCCGAUACUGGUCGGCUAGAGUCCGGGAGGGGAUGGCGGAAUUCCCAGUGUAGCGGUGAAAUGCGUAGAUAUUGGGAAGAACACCAGUGGCGAAGGCGGCCAUCUGGACCGGAACUGACGCUGAGGCGCGAAAGCCAGGGGAGCGAAUGGGAUUAGAUACCCCGGUAGUCCUGGCUGUAAACGAUGGACACUUGGUGUGGUGGGUACUGACCCCCGCCGUGCCGAAGCCAACGCGUUAAGUGUCCCGCCUGGGGAGUACGGUCGCAAGGCUG
rnacentral:rRNA from 1 species